CAGCAGCCGCGGGAAUACGGAGGGGGCUAGCGUUGUUCGGAAUUACUGGGCGUAAAGCGCACGUAGGCGGCUUGGUAAGUUAGAGGUGAAAGCCUGGAGCUCAACUCCAGAAUUGCCUUUAAGACUGCCGAGCUAGUAGGUGAGAGAGGUAAGUGGUAUUCCGAGUGUAGAGGUGAAAUUCGUAGAUAUUCGGAAGAACACCAGUGGCGAAGGCGGCUUACUGGCUCAUACUGGACGCUGAGGUGCGAAAGCGUUGGGAGCAAACAGGAUUAGAUACCCCAGUAGUCCCUGUCUCUUAUAC
rnacentral:rRNA from 1 species